GGAGAGGUGCCGGAGUGGUCGAACGGGGCGGUCUCGAAAACCGUUGUGGCCGUAAGGUCACCGAGGGUUCGAAUCCCUCCCUCUCCGCCA
rnacentral:tRNA from 1 species